rnacentral:rRNA from 1 species
GAUGAACGCUGGCGGCGUGCCUAAUACAUGCAAGUCGAGCGAACAGACGAGGCGCUUGCGCCUCGGACGAUAGCGGCGGAGGGGUGAGUAACACGUGGAUAACCUACCUAUAAGACGGGUAUAACUUGGGGAAACCGGCGCUAAUAGCGGAGAAGAUAUUGAACCGCAGGGGUGGAUGGAGAAAGUCGGUUGUGCGGGAAGGUAUAGAUGGAUCCGGGCCGCUUUAGGUAGUUGGUAAGGUACAGGGUUACGAAGGGAAGGAUGCGUAGCCGACCUGAGGGGGUGGGCGGCCACACUGGAAGUGAGCCACGGACCAGACUCCUACGGGAGGCAGCAGUAGGGAAUCUUCCGCAAUGGGCGAAAGCCUGACGGAGCAACGCCGCGUGAGUGAUGAAGGUCUUCGGAUCGUAAAACUCUGUUAUUGGUGAAGAACAAAUGUGUAAGUAACUAUGCACGUCUUGACGGUACCUAAUCAGAAAGCCACGGCUAACUACGUG